rnacentral:tRNA from 1 species
UGAUGUGUGGUCUAGUCGUCAGGAUUCGUGGCUUUCACCCACGCUCCCGGGUUCGAUUCCCGGCAUUUGAA